AUCUAUGACCAUACCACUCUGAAUGCCCAAUCUCAAAAGCUAAGAAGGGUCCAGCCUGGUUAGUACUUGGAUGGGAGACCUACGUUACUUGAGUUACCAUAUAUA
rnacentral:rRNA from 1 species